UACGUAGGGUCCGAGCGUUGUCCGGAAUUAUUGGGCGUAAAGAGCUCGUAGGUGGUUUGUUACGUCUGCUGUGAAAACCUAGGGCUUAACCCUGGGCUUGCAGUGGAUACGGGCAGACUAGAGGUAGGUAGGGGAGAAUGGAAUUCCUGGUGUAGCGGUGAAAUGCGCAGAUAUCAGGAGGAACACCGGUGGCGAAGGCGGUUCUCUGGGCCUUACCUGACACUGAGGAGCGAAAGCGUGGGGAGCGAACAGG
rnacentral:rRNA from 1 species